rnacentral:rRNA from 1 species
GACGAACGCUGGCGGCGUGCUUAACACAUGCAAGUCGAACGGAAAGGCCCUGCUUGCAGGGUACUCGAGUGGCGAACGGGCGAGUAACACGUGGGUGAUCUGCCCUGCACUUCGGGAUAAGCCUGGGAAACUGGGUCUAAUACCGGAUAGGAGCCAUUUUUAGUGUGAUGGUUGGAAAGUUUUUUCGGUGUAGGAUGAGCUCGCGGCCUAUCAGCUUGUUGGUGGGGUAAUGGCCUACCAAGGCGGCGACGGGUAGCCGGCCUGAGAGGGUGGACGGCCACAUUGGGCCGGAGAUCCGGCCCAGCCCCCUCCGGGGGGCAGCAGGGGGGAAUAUUGCCCAAGGGGCGCAGGCCUGAUGCAGGGCCGCCGCGGGGGGGAUGCCGCCCUUGGGGUUGUAACCUCCUUUCGCUAGGGACAAAGCUUUUUGUGACGUUACCUAGAUAAGAAGCCCCGCCUACCUACGUG